rfam:Erinaceus europaeus unplaced genomic scaffold scaffold00199, whole genome shotgun sequence
AAGCAUGUCUGUCGGCAAGGGAGAUACCAUGAUCACGAAGGUGGUUUUCCUAGGGCGAGGGUUAUCCAUUGCACUCCAGAUGUGCUAACCCCUAUGAUUUCCCCAAAUGUGGGAAACUCGACUGGAUAAUUUGUGGUAGUGGGGGACUGUGUUCAAGGUCUCCUC